ACCUAACGACGCGCCUCAGGCAGAAAAAUAUAAUCUCUUCAUCUCCAUUUAAUUUUUGAUCUAAUCCUCAAGAACUCCCCGCUCUUCUUUCACGACCUUUCAUCUGUGCAACAUAGCAUGAUGUUGCAAUGUUAUUUCAAUCACCUUCACAAACUCCACUGUGAAUAAUAUUCAUCAUCGUCAUCAACAACCUCGACAAUGCCCGCAACAAUAACUCGGCGACAUCAAGAUACUGCAUCCGUAGCUUCUGCUAAGGUUUUCUUCGAAGAACGUUUCGAAGUAGAUCUGCGAAUGUGAUAAAGAAGGAUGUUCCAUGUGAGACUGGCCAACUUACACAUGUUUACACAUUCAUCAUCCGUCCUGAUGCAACCUACAGCAUCCUGAUAGAUAAUAUUCAGAAGCAAACCGGUAGCCUCUACACUGAUUGGAAUCUUCUUCCUGCAAAGAAAAUUAAGGAUCCUGAGGCUAAGAAGCCAAAAGAUUGGGAUGACAAAGAGUUUAUUCUUGAUCCCGAGGAUAAGAAACCAGAGGGAUACGAUGACAUCCCUAAAGAGGUUGCAGACCCUGAUGCCAAAAAGGUUUGUUGUUUCCUAUUGUUGUGUUUAUUUGUCUCUCAUUAUGUUAGCUCUUUGU